rnacentral:rRNA from 1 species
CACGUAGGGUGCGAGCGUUGUCCGGAAUUGUUGGGCGUAAAGAGCUCGUAGGCGGUGUGUCGCGUCGGCCGUGAAAACCUGCAGCUUAACUGUGGGCUUGCGGUCGAUACGGGCAUCACUGGAGUUCGGCAGGGGAGACUGGAAUUCCUGGUGUAGCGGUGAAAUGCGUAGAUAUCGAGAGGAACACCUGCGGCGAAGGCGGGUUGCUGGGCUGACACUGACGCUGAGGCGCGAAAGCCAGGGGAGCGAACGGG